rnacentral:rRNA from 1 species
GACGAACCGUGCGAACGUUGUUCGGAUUCACUGGGCUUAAAGGGCGCGUAGGCGGUCGACCAAGUCUGGGGGUGAAAUCUUUUCGGCUCAACCGGAAAAGUGCCCCCGAUACUGGCCCGGCUAGAGGGAGAUAGGGCAUGCGGAACUUCCGGUGGAGCGGUGAAAUGCGUAGAUAUCGGAAGGAACGCCGGUGGCGAAGCGGCGUGCUGGAUCUCUUCUGACGCUGAGGCGCGAAAGCCAGGAGCAAAGCGGG